UUCACAUGUCCGCAUGAUUAAAGGUAUUUUCCGGUAGACGAUGGGGAUGCGUUCCAUUAGAUAGUAGGCGGGGUAACGGCCCACCUAGUCAACGAUGGAUAGGGGUUCUGAGAGGAAGGUCCCCCACAUUGGAACUGAGACACGGUCCAAACUCCUACGGGAGGCAGCAGUGAGGAAUAUUGGUCAAUGGGCGAUGGCCUGAACCAGCCAAGCAGCGUGAAGGAUGACUGCCCUAUGGGUUGUAAACUUCUUUUAUAAAGGAAUAAAGUCGGGUAUGCAUACCCGUUUGCAUGUACUUUAUGAAUAAGGAUCGGCUAACUCCGUGCCAGCAGCCGCGGUAAUACGGAGGAUCCGAGCGUUAUCCGGAUUUAUUGGGUUUAAAGGGAGCGUAGAUGGAUGUUUAAGUCAGUUGUGAAAGUUUGCGGCUCAACCGUAAAAUUGCAGUUGAUACUGGAUGUCUUGAGUGCAGUUGAGGCAGGCGGAAUUCGUGGUGUAGCGGUGAAAUGCUUAGAUAUCACGAAGAACUCCGAUUGCGAAGGCAGCCUGCUAAGCUGCAACUGACAUUGAGGCUCGAAAGUGUGGGUAUCAAACAGGAUUAGAUACCCUGGUAGUCCACACGGUA
rnacentral:rRNA from 1 species